AGGAGCCGAAGAAGGACGGGACUAACACCGAUAUGCUUUGGGGAGCUGUACGUAAGCGUUGAUCCAGAGAUUUCCGAAUGGGGGAACCCACUAUCUUUAGUCGGAUAGUAUCCUUACGUGAAUACAUAGCGUGAGGAAGGCAGACCCAGGGAACUGAAACAUCUAAGUACCUGGAGGAAGAGAAAGAAAAAUCGAUUUCCUGAGUAGCGGCGAGCGAAACGGAAAGAGCCCAAACCAAGAAGCUUGCUUCUUGGGGUUGUAGGACACUCUAUACGGAGUUACAAAAGAAAGUUAUAAAUGAAGCGGUCUGGAAAGGCCCGCCAAAGACGGUAACAGCCCGGUAGUUGAAAUGGCUUUCCCUCCAGAGUGGAUCCUGAGUACGGCGGAACACGUGAAAUUCCGUCGGAAUCCGGGAGGACCAUCUCCCAAGGCUAAAUACUCCCUAGUGACCGAUAGUGAACCAGUACCGUGAGGGAAAGGUGAAAAGCACCCCGGAAGGGGAGUGAAACAGUUCCUGAAACCGUGUGCCUACAAGUAGUUAGAGCCCGUUAAUGGGUGAUAGCGUGCCUUUUGUAGAAUGAACCGGCGAGUUACGAUUUGUUGCAAGGUUAAGCGGAAAAAGCGGAGCCGUAGCGAAAGCGAGUCUGAAUAGGGCGCAUAAGUAACAGGUCGUAGACCCGAAACCAGGUGAUCUACCCAUGUCCAGGAUGAAGGUAAGGUAAUACUUACUGGAGGUCCGAACCCACGCACGUUGAAAAGUGCGGGGAUGAGGUGUGGGUAGCGGAGAAAUUCCAAUCGAACUUGGAGAUAGCUGGUUCUCUCCGAAAUAGCUUUAGGGCUAGCCUCGAGGUAAAGAGUCAUGGAGGUAGAGCACUGUUUGGACUAGGGGCCCUUCUCGGGUUACCGAAUUCAGAUAAACUCCGAAUGCCAUGUACUUAUACUCGGGAGUCAGACUGCGAGUGAUAAGAUCCGUAGUCGAAAGGGAAACAGCCCAGACCACCAGUUAAGGUCCCCAAAUAUAUGUUAAGUGGAAAAGGAUGUGGGGUUGCUUAGACAACCAGGAUGUUGGCUUAGAAGCAGCCACCAUUGAAAGAGUGCGUAAUAGCUCACUGGUCGAGUGACCCCGCGCCGAAAAUGUACCGGGGCUAAACAUAUUACCGAAACUGUGGAUGAACCUCUUUAGAGGUUCGUGGUAGGAGAGCGUUCUAAGGGCGGUGAAGUCAGACCGGAAGGACUGGUGGAGCGCUUAGAAGUGAGAAUGCCGGUAUGAGUAGCGAAAGAAGGGUGAGAAUCCCUUCCACCGAAUAUCUAAGGUUUCCUGAGGAAGGCUCGUCCGCUCAGGGUUAGUCGGGACCUAAGCCGAGGCCGAUAGGCGUAGGCGAUGGACAACAGGUAGAGAUUCCUGUACCAGUGCUAAUUGUUUAACCGAUGGGGUGACACAGAAGGAUAGGGAAUCGCACGAAUGGAAAUGUGCGUCCAAGCAGUGAGUGUGAGAAGUAGGCAAAUCCGCUUCUCGCGAAGCAUGAGCUGUGAUGGGGAAGGAAAUUAAGUACGGAAGUUCCUGAUUUCACGCUGUCAAGAAAAGCCUCUAGGAAGAGUAGUACUGCCCGUACCGCAAACCGACACAGGUAGAUGAGGAGAGAAUCCUAAGGUGAGCGAGAGAACUCUCGUUAAGGAACUCGGCAAAAUGACCCCGUAACUUCGGGAGAAGGGGUGCUCUAUUAGGGUGCAAGCCCGAGAGAGCCGCAGUGAAUAGGCCCAGGCGACUGUUUAGCAAAAACACAGGUCUCUGCAAAACCGUAAGGUGACGUAUAGGGGCUGACGCCUGCCCGGUGCUGGAAGGUUAAGAGGAGUGCUUAGCUUCGGCGAAGGUACGAAUUGAAGCCCCAGUAAACGGCGGCCGUAACUAUAACGGUCCUAAGGUAGCGAAAUUCCUUGUCGGGUAAGUUCCGACCCGCACGAAAGGCGCAACGAUCUGGGCACUGUCUCAACGAGAGACUCGGUGAAAUUAUAGUACCUGUGAAGAUGCAGGUUACCCGCGACAGGACGGAAAGACCCCGUGGAGCUUUACUGCAACCUGAUAUGGAAUGUUUGUACCGCUUGUACAGGAUAGGUAGGAGCCGAAGAGACGUGUGCGCUAGCAUACGAGGAGGCAAUGGUGGGAUACUACCCUGGCUGUAUGACCAUUCUAACCCGCCACGCUUAGCGCGUGGGGAGACAGUGUCAGGUGGGCAGUUUGACUGGGGCGGUCGCCUCCUAAAGAGUAACGGAGGCGCCCAAAGGUUCCCUC
rnacentral:rRNA from 1 species